UGAUUUCCAUUAUUCUGCCUUCCAGAUCAAUUAUGCAUUCUUUGGUCUGCUAUUCAUUCCUUCCAAUUUUUUUUUUUUUAUUUCAGCCAUUGAAUUCUUCAUGUGUGAUUUGGUCUUUUAAUAUUUUCUAGUUCUUUGUUAAUAUCCUCACAGGGCCACAGCCAGAGCCAUUCGUGAAGCAAGACUUCUCCUCUGUUCAGUGGCUGUAACCACUCUGUUGGGAGUGGGAUUUAAUCCCUAAUUGCUAGAGCAGAAGCCCUGAGGGUUGGGCUGGCUCUCUUCCCUAUGUUUUCCCCUCUCCCUGCACUGGGGCCUUUGACCUAAAAAGGGACAGUGCUGAAACAAGUGGGACCCGUGUGGAUUCUCAGCUUGUGUUAGCUGUCUCUGAUGUGCUGCCUGUAUGCGUGCCUUUAUUUGUUUCUCUCACUCCACUCAGAUGAAGCCUUGUGUGGAAGUUCUUUUGGCUCUCAUAUAGUAUCACGGCCCCUAGCCUCUCCCACUCCAACUCUGUUGUAGAGCCACACUGCAGAGCUGGAGGAACCUAUGUAGACUCUUGCAUGUGUCAGGGUGUGAGUUGUGGUGGAAUGGGCUUUCCACCCAGAGUUCUGGACUGCUCCUUAUGUGCUGCUUGAGUUAAGUGCCAACAAUAGCCACUGCCCCAGGACUGGGUCACUUCUAUGUCCCACAGUUGGGUCUUCUCUGGUUGUGGCUGCUCCAGACCCAGUUCUGUGCUGUGGAGUGUUCAGGGCCCAAGUGUUUGCUUAGCUUUGGCUGGGGUGCCUGCCAAGGUAGUUCUGGGAAACUCAUUAACUGCUAGAGCAGACCUCUCUCAGCCCUGCCUUGGGGGCUAACCAGCAUGCACCCUCUCAUGAGUAGAGUCCAGGCUUCCCACUGCCCUCCUGUUAUUCCCAAUUGUUCUCCUCCUAGCCAAGAGGGCUUGUCUUCCCUGUGUGGGACCCCUGGACAAUGGUGUCCAAUCACUGGCACUCAUUGCUCAUUCCCCAGGGUGGAUGUCAGUCUGUGUAUUUUCCUUUAUCCUCUGAGCCGCUUUCCAGGGGCCCAGGUAUAUCAGAUUAUUUUUCUUCCUUUCCUACUGGUUAUGUGUGUGUGUUUUUCUAAUAGCCUUGGGUCUACUGGAGUCUUUCUGCUAGUUUCAAUUCUGUUUUCAGUGAGAAUUGUUCUAUAUAUGGAUGUGUUCCUGGGGGGAGGUGAACUCCACAUCCUCUUUUUUGUUUGUUUGUUUGUUUGUUUUUGCUUUUUAGAGCUGCACAUGUGCCAUAUGGAAGUUCCCAGGCUAGGGGUCAAAUUGGAACUGCAUCUGCCAGCCUACGGCACAGCCUCUGCAGAGCCAGAAGUGAGCUGCGUCUGCAACCUACACUGCAGCUCACAGCAAUGCUGGAUCCUUAACCAACUGAGUGGGCCAGGGAUCAAACCCACGUCCUCAUGGAUACUAGUUGGCUUCGUUACAGUUGAACCACAUCGACAACUCCCUACUUCACCAUCUUGACCAAUCACCUGCUCCAUUUUUUUUUUUUUUUUGAUAGAGUACAAAGGGCAGGCAUCUUUUUAGUUCUGAGUGGCCUUAUCCUUCCUAUUUUGGACUCCUCACUGGGUCAAAUAUUCAUUUGUGCCUUCCUUUAUACAGUGUCAUAUAGUACAUGGACAGCACUAGUUAAAGAAGAGGGGUACAAAUCUAAGAAACUCUACUGCAUAAUGCUUAGCUAAUUCUCAGGUUCUAGCCAGACUGUCUGCAUUUAAAUACAUACUCUGCCACUUUGUGGUUGUGUGACGUUGGGCAAAGUACUGAGCCUCUCUGUGUUUCUGUUUCCUCAUUUAAGAAAACGGGAAUGCUAGGACUUAUCUUAAUGGUGUUAUUAUGAAGACCAAAGGAGUUAAUUUAUGUAACAUGGUUAGAAUGGUGCCUGGCAUAAAAUGAGUGUAUAAAAAAAUAUCUACAACUCACUAAAGAAAGACCAAUAAUCAGAAUAUACAAUUUAUAGAUAAGGCAAUACAAGUUGCUACUAAAUAUAUGAAAAAAUAAUCAAUUUCAUUCAUAAUAAGAGGCGUUUUUAGUCUAUCAGAUUGGCAAAGAUGGGAAUAUUUGACGACACAUUGCACUGGUGAAGGUGAGGGAAAUUAGAUAUUUUCAUGAAUUGCUAAUGAGAAUGUUAACCAGAGAGCAGUUUGGCAAGAACUAUAGGAAGUGAAAAUGCACAUAACUUCUUUUUCUGCAAUAGCAUAUCUUAGACUUUAUUUUACAAACUGUAAAGUAACCUAUAUACCAGAAUAUUUCAUAAAGCACUUUUUGUAAUUGUAAAAUAAUGAAAAGGAAAGAACAACUCUAUAAUGAUAUGGAAAAAUGUCUAAUAUAUAUUGCUAAGUGAAAGAAUACAGGUACAGAACUAUGAGUAUAGUAUAAUGUCAUUUGUAUAAACAAAAGAACAAUACAAACAGCCUUUUAUUAGUUUAGAAUAUAUUAUCCAAGAUAAAAUAUUCUUUUUAGAUAUACACAAAUAUUCUUUUUAGAGAUAAACGGAGGUGGUUUGGGACAGGCAGAUUUCUUUUCUACUGUAAUCUUUCAUGCCAUUAGAAUUUUAACAUAUUUUUUUGGCUGUACCAACAGCAUGAGAAAGUUCCUGGGCUAGGGAUCAAAUCCAUGCUACAGAAGUGACCUCAGCCACAGAAGUGACAAUGCUGGAUCCUUAACCCACAACAGAUUUUUUUUUUUUUUUAAACCAGGAGCAUACAUUUUCUAGUCAUAAAAAAAGUGCAAAUGUCAAAAAAAAACCCACAAAAAAACAAAAACAAAACAAACCUGUAAAAAGUAAAAAAAACAAAAACAAAAAAACACAUGGAAGUUCUUGGGCCAGGGACUGAAUCUGAACCACAGUUUUGACCUAUGCCACAGCUGCAGCAACCCAAACCACUGCAGUAGGAUUCUUAACCCACCAUGCUACAGCAUGUACCCCUAAAAAAGUAAAUUUUUUAUAUUAACUUUAGACUUAAUUUAUCAUUGGAAAACCAUUUGACUUACUACUUUUUUUUAGGUGUUUUUGCAAAAUUCAGUAAGCUAAAUCCCUGGACUUUAGCUCAGACACAAUCAGUUAAGUCAGUUAAGUUAAAAAGAAGACCUAUAAUUUUUCAGUAAGACUACUCAUUAUCUCAGCUUUCUUAUCUAUAAGAUGACAGUGAAUAUGUUUACCUGCUUGAAAGAGUUGCUAGAGGAAUUUCUGAUCGGUGUUUCAGCAGUAACUUGUAAAGGUGAUGGAAUUGCAGAAUGGGGUCUGUUACCGUUUGAGACUGUCCUCCAGCUCAUCAUUUCCAGAAGAAGGAGAGCAUUUAAAUUGUCCCAUUGGGUUGUACUUUGUGAUCCACUCAAUUUGCUCUUUCAUUUUUGUCCUGCCUUUUUUUUUUCUCUUCUUUUUAGGCUGUACCUGCAGCAUAUGGAGGUUCCCAGGCUAGGGAUUAAAUUGGAGCUACAGCUGCUGGCCAUAGCCACAGCCAAAGUGAUGCAGGAUCCGAGCCACGUCUGUGACCUAAAACCACAGCUCAUGGCAAUCCUGGAUCCUUAACCCACUGAGUGAGGCCAGGGAUUGAACCUGCAUCCUUAUGGAUACUAGUCAGGUUCGUUACCACUGAGACACACUGGGAAAUCCCUGCCUUGUUCCUUGUGAGGUUAGUUUGGAGCAUCACCAGCUUCCCACCAUCAAGCCCAGUUGACUUCUUCCUCUGCCCCCAAACCCCACAUCCAACCCUUUGCCAAGUUGCUUCUGUCACCCCAAUGCCUCUCUCAUCUGUUCAUCUCCAAUCAUACAGUUCAUAGCAGCAGCUUGAACUGGAUUCAUUGGACCCACUCCUCAGAUCAUCCUCCCAGCUUCCUUUAUUUGGUUUAGUGUUACCUGAUUUUUAACACUCAGAUUAAAUUUGGCUUCUUUAUUAAAUCUGUGCUGAAAAUUCCCCUUGAGGAUUAUAGUACACUCUGCUUCAUAUUUAUAUUUUGUAUACCCUUCUUGUAACCUUCAUCAUAUCACAUUGUGCAAUGGACUCAAUGUUUGUAACCCCCACCCAAUUCACAUGUUGAAAUCCUUAGUCUCAACAGGGUAGGAAGUGGCGCCUUUGGGGACUAUUAGGUUAUGAGUGUGGAGCCCUCAUGAAUGAGCGCAUGGAGAGAAGGCAGUGUCUGCAACCAGAAGAGGACUCCUGCAGAACCUGACCGUGCUGGCACCCUGAUCUUAGCCUUCCAGCUCCAGAACCAUGAGAAAUAAAUGUCUGUUGUU
rnacentral:lncRNA from 1 species